UACGGGGGGGGCAAGCGUUGUUCGGAAUUACUGGGCGUAAAGGGCGCGUAGGCGGCCUACUAAGUCGGACGUGAAAUCCCUCGGCUCAACCGAGGAAGUGCAUCCGAAACUGAGUAGCUUGAGUACGAAAGAGGGUCGCGGAAUUCCCGGUGUAGAGGUGAAAUUCGUAGAUAUCGGGAGGAACACCGGUGGCGAAGGCGGCGACCUGGGUCGAUACUGACGCUGAGGUGCGAAAGCGUGGGGAGCAAACAGG
rnacentral:rRNA from 1 species